UGGGCGACACCUCCAUGGCUCUGGGUGACAUCUCUGUGGGUGACAUCUCCAUGGGUGGCAUCUCCGUGGGUGACACUUCCCCAGGUGACAUGUCCAUGGGUGACACCUCCACGGUUGCGGGUGACAUCUCCACGGGUGACGUCUCCAUGGUUACAGGUGACAUCUCCAUGGGCGACACCUCCAUGGCUCUGGGUGACAUCUCCAUGGGUGACAUCUCCAUGGUUGUGGGUGACAUCCCCGUGGUCAACACUUCCCCAGGUGCCACCUCUGUGGGUGCCAUCUCCAUGGGUGACACCUCCAUGGUGGUGGGUGCCAUCUCCACGGGUGACGCUUCCCCAGGUGCCAUCUCCAUGCUUGUGGGUGACAUCUCCGUGGGUGCCAUCUCCAUGGCUCUGGGUGCCACCUCCAUGGUGGUGGGUGACAUCCCCAUGGGCGACACUUCCCCAGGUGCCACCACCGUGGGUGCCACCUCCGUGGGUGCCAUCUCCAUGGUGGUGGGUGCCAUCUCCAUGGGUUCCAUCUCCGUGGUGGUGGGUGUCAUCUCCGCGGGUGACGCUUCCCCAGGUGCCAUCUCCAUGGGUGACACCUCCAUGGGUGCCACCUCCAUGGUGAUGGGUGACAUCUCCAUGGGCGACGCUUCCCCAGGUGCCACCUCCAUGGUGGUGGGCGCCAUCUCCAUGGGCGCCAUCUCCAUGGGCGCCAUCUCCGUGGUGGUGGGCGCCAUCUCCGCGGGUGACGCUUCCCCAGGUGCCACCUCCGUGACCCCGGGUGCCGUCCCCGUGGUGCCAGGCGCGCCCGUCCCGCGUCCCCCUGGCGUUGAGGAGCUGCUGCCGCCGCCCGUCCCCCCCCGCCCCCCAGGCGCCGUUGUCCCCGUUGGCGCCGGGCGUCGCGCCGCCCUUGGCCAUGCUGCCCGCCAUGUUGCGCAGCACGAACUCCACGAUGUCGGAGGGCAGGUCCUCGCCGUCCCCGCGCCGUCCCCGCUCCCCGUCGUCCACCCCGUCCAGCUGGUCGAUGUGGGGCGG
ensembl:lncRNA